rnacentral:rRNA from 1 species
AUGAACGCUGGCGGCGUGCCUAAUACAUGCAAGUCGAGCGAACAGAUGAGGAGCUUGCUCCUCUGACGUUAGCGGCGGACGGGUGAGUAACACGUGGACAACCUACCUAUAAGACUGGGAUAACUUCGGGAAACCGGAGCUAAUACCGGAUAAUAUAUUGAACCGCAUGGUUCAAUAGUGAAAGACGGUUUUGCUGUCACUUAUAGAUGGAUCCGCGCCGCAUUAGCUAGUUGGUAAGGUAACGGCUUACCAAGGCAACGAUGCGUAGCCGACCUGAGAGGGUGAUCGGCCACACUGGAACUGAGACACGGUCCAGACUCCUACGGGAGGCAGCAGUAGGGAAUCUUCCGCAAUGGGCGAAAGCCUGACGGAGCAACGCCGCGUGAGUGAUGAAGGUCUUCGGAUCGUAAAACUCUGUUAUUAGGGAAGAACAAAUGUGUAAGUAACUAUGCACGUCUUGACGGUACCUAAUCAGAAAGCCACGGCUAACUACGUG